GACGAACGCUGGCGGCGUGCUUAACACAUGCAAGUCGAACGGAAAGGCCCUGCAUUUGUGGGGUGCUCGAGUGGCGAACGGGUGAGUAACACGUGAGUAACCUGCCCUUGACUUUGGGAUAACUUCAGGAAACUGGGGCUAAUACCGGAUAGGAGCUCCUGCUGCAUGGUGGGGGUUGGAAAGUUUCGGCGGUUGGGGAUGGACUCGCGGCUUAUCAGCUUGUUUGUGGGGUAGUGGCUUACCAAGGCUUUGACGGGUAGCCGGCCUGAGAGGGUGACCGGCCACAGUGGGACUGUGAUACGGCCCAGACUCCUACGGGAGGCAGCAGUGGGGAAUAUUGCACAAUGGGCCGAAGCCUGAUGCAGCAACGCCGCGUGCGGGAUGACGGCCUUCUGGUUGUAAACCGCUUUCGCCUGUGACGAGGCGUGCGUGACGGUAAUGGGUAAAGAAGCACCGGCUAACUACGUG
rnacentral:rRNA from 1 species